rnacentral:rRNA from 1 species
UACGUAGGGUGCAGGCGUUAAUCGGAAUUACUGGGCGUAAAGCGUGCGUAGGCGGUUUGUUAAGACAGGUGUGAAAUCCCCGGGCUUAACCUGGGAACUGCGCUUGUUACUGGCAGACUGGAGUGUGGCGAGAGGGGGGUGGAAUUCCAGGUGUAGCAGUGAAAUGCGUAGAUAUUGGGAGGAACACCGGUGGCGAAGGCGGCUACCUGGACCGGUUCUGACGCUGAUGCGCGAAAGCGUGGGGAGCAAACAGGG